CAGAAGCUGAUGCCAGUGGCCUUCCUCUGAAGCGCAGCCAUGUGCAAAGCCAGGGGAGGAGCACGGAGUGUGGCACAGCACCCAAGAGAGCAGUGACCAGCUCGGAUGUGCCGAAGGACAUCACGGACAUCCAGGGUUUGCUCUCGUGGAUCAAUGAGGUGGCAAGAGCUGUUG